rnacentral:tRNA from 1 species
AGGGGGAAGGUGUACCUAAAAGAAGCUGCUAACUAUCUUUUAAAGCGGUUCAAUUCCGUUUUCCCCUUU